rnacentral:lncRNA from 12 species
AUGGGGGGAAAAGUGGGUGUUUUUCUGGGAAAAAUGGGGGGUUGUGUGAAAAAAAAUGGAGUUUUGUGGGAAAAAUUGGGUUUUUAAUGGAGAAAAUGGGGGGAAAUGGGGGUUCAGCUCAGCUCGCUGCUCAUCCACAGGUGGGAACAAGAAAAUCCUGGAAUUCUGUUGAUUUUGGGAAUUCUGGGGGUGGGAAUUUGUGGAAUUUUGGAGCAAACCCUGCUGUCUCCCCCCAGACAAACGGGCCCUGUUCAUCAUCUGCACCUCGGAGCUGGGACCCCAAAUCUACGAGCUGGUGGCACUGACGUCCUCGGAGAAGAACACGUGGAUGGAGCUGCUGGAGCAGGCGGUGCAGGGGGCCACCAGGAGCCUCCCCGGGCCACCAAAACGGCACCAGGGCGAGGCCAGCGCGAGCACAGGAGCAGGGCUGGUGCUGCCCGAGCCCGCCGUGGCCCCGGGAUCCGAGCCCGAGGCUGAGCCCGAGGAUUGCUCCUCAGGUACGGCUGCUGUGUCGUCCUGUCACCCACUGUCACUGUCACUUCCUGUCACCCAUUGUCACCCAGUGUCACCUCCUGUCUCUGUCCCCAUCCCUGUCCUUGUCCCUGUCCUUCCCCUCUUGUCCCAUCGCUGUCCCUGUCCCAUCCCUAUUCCUGCUGUCCCCAAUGUCCCCUGUGUGUCCCCAUGUCCCCAGUGUCCCCUGUCCCUCCCCACAGCUGGCAGUGACCGCGCCCCUCCCCCGCCGGAGCCCCCCCCCCCCCCCCCCCCCCCCCCCCCCCCCCCCCCCCCCCCCCCCCCCCCCCCCCCCCCCCCCCCC